GAUGAACGCUGGCGGCGUGCCUAAUACAUGCAAGUCGAGCGAACAGACGAGGAGCUUGCUCCUCUGACGUUAGCGGCGGACGGGUGAGUAACACGUGGAUAACCUACCUAUAAGACUGGGAUAACUUCGGGAAACCGGAGCUAAUACCGGAUAAUAUAUUGAACCGCAUGGUUCAAUAGUGAAAGACGGUUUUGCUGUCACUUAUAGAUGGAUCCGCGCCGCAUUGCUAGUUGGUAAGGUAACGGCUUACCAAGGCAACGAUGCGUAGCCGACCUGAGAGGGUGAUCGGCCACACUGGAACCGAGACACGGUCCAGACUCCUACGGGAGGCAGCAGUAGGGAAUCUUCCGCAAUGGGCGAAAGCCUGACGGAGCAACGCCGCGUGAGUGAUGAAGGUCUUCGGAUCGUAAAACUCUGUUAUUAGGGAAGAACAAAUGUGUAAGUAACUAUGCACGUCUUGACGGUACCUAAUCAGAAAGCCACGGCUAACUACGUG
rnacentral:rRNA from 1 species